rnacentral:misc_RNA from 1 species
CAAAAAUUCUGUUAUUAAUCCAUCAUAAAAUCAAGAAGAUAUCAUGCAAUGUGUCACAUGUUACUGGAAAAUAGUAAGAAAUACAAGUAUUUCUCUUAGAAAACACAGUGAAGUUUACAUAAAUCAUCAGCUCGAGAAACACAUGUUGACCAGACACUCAGACAGCACAUCAUAAAACAUCGAUCAUUGGAUGAAGUUCACCACGAAAUCCACUGCAGAAGUAUGAGAAGGUACAAUCAUUUAAGGACUAGUAGUUGAAUGGAAGGGGUUGAGGUUGGUUUGGCAGGUAAUGUGGGCUUAGCGAGGUGAGGCACAUCAGGCCAUUCCGGCACUUUUAGCUCUGGCAGAUCUGGCAAUUCUGGUAAUGGUGGCACUUCAACCUUAGGGAAAGAUGGCAGCUCUGGCAAUUCGGGCUUAGGAAGCUCAGGUAUAUCAGAUAACGAUAUUCUUAGAAGCUGUCGCGUAUCUACCAGAAUUGUCUGGCACUCUGGCUAUUCAUCAUUGACAUACUAAUCAUCAAAAAGUGGUAAUAUCAAAGCUGAGAAAUGAUGAUAGGCCAUAUUUGAUGCAACUAACAAUGAGUUUGGAAGAAGAUGAAAGGAGACUUCAAGGGUGAGUUGGUAGGAAAAGAUUAUGUAUUGGCAGUUCAACUUCUCAACCAUGUUACUAAUACCCCAUCACUCAGAAUCCGAAAUCUUCUCCCAACUUCUUUCCAGACUUCUCUAAUCCCAAUAUGCUUCAUAAAGAAAAUUUGGGAUUCUUUUAAAAUUGACCUCCUUGCUGCAGCUAGAUAAAUCACCAGACAAUAUUCAAACAGACCCUUGAAAUGGAGAAUGCACCAUCCAAAGACCAAUGGUAUCUGUUGCUUGUUGGUUACUUUCUAGUUGGCAUCUAGGCUAUAGUUCUUAAUCAUGAUCAAUCACAGGUUACUUGAUUUACCUAUCUACUAGGUAUAUCUUCUCUCGAGCAAUUCUCUCUUCUUCCAGCUUCAAAGAUAAGAUUAUCAAGAUUAAUUUUUCUAAAGGUACAUUUAAAAUGUUCAAUGAAGAAGAGUCUUAGAAUCCACCCUCAAAUAUCAGCAUAUUCUUCCUCUCUUCUUGCCUUUAGCACUGUUCUCCUCCUGUAAAUCAUUAUGAAUUUAUCCAAAUUCAAAUUCUGAUAUGAGAACUUACCAAAAUUCCUUGCAACAGCUUUUAAAUCCCAAAGCAGCUAAAUUCAUACUCACAUCCACAAAAUCACAUUUCCAAUCUAAUACUCUUAACACUUUCCUUCACUUUAUUUUUCAUUUUAACAGGUCUCAACAAGUUGAAGGCCAAAAAUCUCAAUUAUUUCCAUUGUCUCACCCAAACACUGUUUGCAUAUCUUUCAGAGAACCUCAAAAAUCAUAAUAUGAAAGGACUAUUGUCUAAGCUAUAUCUACUGGCUCUGGCCAUGGAUAUCAGUAGCAAGAAUCUCUUUCAUCUGGGAUAAGAAAGCUUAUAAGUUCCAAGACAAACCAAGAUAGUGCGACUAUCAUAGUAUGAGCCCAGAAUCAUCAAUAGACACAAAAAGAAAUGCAUAGACUCAAACCAGAUGGACAGAGCAGCAACCGAGACAAAAGCUGCAGGAAAUGAAAAUACUAAACCAAAAGUAUGAAACAAAUGCAGAAAUUACUCCAGUUCAUGUUGUGGGAAAGUCCCAACAAGAGGUAAGAUCAUGACCUUUCAAAAUUCACGCUUUGAGGAGAACAAGGUUUUAUGUCAUGCAAGUUUUGCUCCAUUUCAUCUUGCAGAAGCUUCUCCUCACGAGCCUCCCAGUGAAAAAUAAUAAGGAAGAAGAAGAAGAAGAGUUGUAGGUUUGCUGUUUGGAAAAAGAGCUGCAACUGUCUUUGCCUUCACUGUUAUAUCUUUUGCUUCAUCUCUGCCUGGGUGUGCCAUAAGACAAAGAAGCAGGAUCAUGGCCAUUGGAACUACCAUUAAUUAGAAGCAAGUGAUAAGUUUGAGCUGCGACUCUCUUUCUUGAGAUCUAGCUGUCUUUCUGUGGUGAAAAAAAAAUAAUGCUCCGAAGGCCUCUCUAUGUUCUAAGUUUAUAUUAUUGAAAAUUUUGCAUCAUUAACACUGA